ACAAUAACAAAAGGGUCGGCAGGAGAUUAGGGAAUUUGGAGGUGAGGUGGAAGAAGAGGUAUAGAUCAAGUGAUAUCUCUAAUUUUUGUUAGACCUUGUAAAUUAGAGGAAGAACCAUAUUGAUGCAUAGGACUUUUUAAGUUUUCUUUAGGAUCAAGAUUUGCAAUAUUAGUCAUCGUGAUUUAGGAGAUAUGGCGUGUGUUUGGUGACUGCAGAUUUCUAUCAAUAUUCAGAAAAACUUUGAUAUAAUUUCUUUAUCUCUUUUGGAGUAAUUGAUGACCCUUUUUGCCUAGUAGAAUUUGAGUUAUCGUUGGUGCAAGUUUAAAUUAGGAAGUAAAUAAUAUCUUCUUCUAAUCUAGCUGUAUUUGUGUGCAUUGUGUCAAAAAAAGUUGAGGCAUUUUCUUUG
rnacentral:lncRNA from 1 species